CGGACGGGUGAGUAAUGUCUGGGAAACUGCCUGAUGGAGGGGGAUAACUACCGGAAACGGUAGCUAAUACCGCAUAACGUCGCAAGACCAAAGAGGGGGACCUUCGGGCCUCUUGCCAUCGGAUGUGCCCAGAUGGGAUUAGCUAGUAGGUGGGGUAACGGCUCACCUAGGCGACGAUCCCUAGCUGGUCUGAGAGGAUGGCCAGCCACACUGGAACUGAGACACGGUCCAG
rnacentral:rRNA from 1 species